UGUUCUAACCCUGUUCCCCAUGCUCUCAGGGGCUAAUGGGAAAUACCAUAUCUACCUUCAGGCUGGGCUGGUUAGACUAGUACCUAGGGCCCAAGGACC
rnacentral:snoRNA from 1 species